rnacentral:lncRNA from 1 species
AGCCAAAUGAACCUGGUUGCAGUGAGAGGUUUCAGCCCCCAUCAGCCAAAUGCUCUUGAGCAGGCCUCAUCUGGAAAAUAAUGACUGUGUCUCAAAGGAUGACGAAGAGGAAUAAAUGAGCAAUGUGUUUCAAUGAGACAGUAUCGGCUGCGUCAAUGAUUGUAGUGCUAAUUGUUACAGACAUGACCACAAUGCCAAGGCGAAUGGGGACAAUGAAAUCCAUGGCUGGUUUUAACUGGGAGUCUGGAGAAGAAUCAGCUUCCAACCUUACUCAGGGCAGGUGCAGAGGAUCCAGCAUGUUAUUCUGAAACCCCAGAAGACGCUGCAGCUACCAAAUAGAAGGAGCCUGGAUCCCUGAAUGUCUUCAUGGAACAGAACAUUCUCCUCACUCCAGUCUGUUUGAACCAGAAUAUGACCUGAGCAAGAAAUAAGCCUUAAUUAUAUUUGACCAUAGAAUUCUGGUGAUAUUUCUAUGGCUGUAAGUCCAUGUUGAUUAAUACAAAGGGAUGCUGUAAAGCCUCUUCUAUUAAAAAAAGUUGCCCAAGG